rnacentral:lncRNA from 13 species
GAUCACCUGGAACUCCACACACCCAAACCGCAGGUCCUCAGUUCUUCUUGCCCAAGGAUUGGUUAAACUCCUGGAUGGAGAACCCUCAGAUAAGGAGAAUCACCUAGACUGCAGUUUCCAGAAAAUGUAAAUGUCAAAAAGUGAAAGGGGUGGCUCCCCUCGUGCCAGCCCUGCGAGCAGCCCUAGCCUUUGGUGAUGGCCUCUUCUGACGUCUGCGCAGACAGUGAGAAGUAGAGCUGCGGGCUGAAACUUCACAGUAUGACAUCUGGGCUGCGGAGAAUGGCGGUGUUCUGGGAGAGAGUGCCACCUAUUGAAUGACUAUCACUACAACUGGAGAAUUUCAUCCAGGACAGCCAGAAUGACACAAGAGGGCAAAACAUCUUCAGGAAUGGACCCACAGUGAGAAAGCCAAUUGACCAACAGAUGACCUUGAACCUAAAGCUGAAUUUUUAUCCAGGCCAUGCAGAUGUAAACUGUCAUUUCUAUGAAGAUGGGAAGAAGAGCUUUGGAGAGAUCCAUGGUGUGCGGUUCCU